UACGGAGGGAGCUAGCGUUGUUCGGAAUUACUGGGCGUAAAGCGCACGUAGGCGGCUUUGCAAGUUAGAGGUGAAAGCCCGGGGCUCAACUCCGGAAUUGCCUUUAAAACUGCAUCGCUAGAGUUGUGGAGAGGUAAGUGGAAUUCCGAGUGUAGAGGUGAAAUUCGUAGAUAUUCGCAAGAACACCGGUGGCGAAGGCGGCCAACUGGACCAUUACUGACGCUGAGGCGCGAAAGCGUGGGGAGCAAACAGG
rnacentral:rRNA from 1 species